AUUUUAUUCUGUUAAAAAAUGUAGCACAAUUUGUUUAACUAGUCCCCAACUGAUUUACUUUAAAUUCGUUCUAAUUCUUUAUAGUUUAAAAAUGUUAUUAAGAAUAUUCUUGGGCUUCCCUGGUGGCACAGUGGUUGAGAGUCCGCCUGCCGAUGCAGGGGACACGGAUUUGUGCCUCAGUCCGGGAAGAUCACACAUGCCGCGGAGCGGCUGGUUCAGUGAGCCAUGGCCGCUGAACCUGCGCGUCCGGAGCCUGUGCUCCGCAACGGGAGAGGCCACAACAGUGAGAGGCCCGUGUACCACACACACACACAAAAAGAAUAUUCUUGAACAUGCAUCCUUGCCUAUUUAUGAAAAUAUUUCUGUUGGAGAGAUACUAAGACAUGGACCUGCUGAAUCGAAGGUUCUGGAGGCCAGAAGUCCAAAAUCAGUUUCACUGGGCUAAAGUCCAGUUAUCAGCAGAACUGGUCCCUUCUGGAGGUGCUGAGAAAACAGAGGGGGAAAAAAAGAAAUCUGGCUGUAAUGGAAAGAGGAAGGAGAAAGAGAGAAGUAGAUGGAAAGAGGUAGAUUAAAAAAAUAUGAGAAAGUCCUGAGCCGUUUAAUUACUACUGGAAGGAGCCUGAAGAGGAACAUCAAGAUCUGACCUACAUGGAUUGCUGCAAGAACAAAGGAUUCCAAGAAAUUUGCAACAACCAACCACACCCUCUCCCCUUUUAGUCUGAAUUCUAGCUUGGGUAAGGUGGUUCUUUGGGACACUAGUCCACCAUCUUCUUGGUCUACCGGCUUUCUGAAUAAAGUUGCUAUUCCUUGCCCCAACACCUCGUCUGUUGAUUUACUGGCCCUGUCCUGCAGUGAGCAGUAUGAACUUGGACUUGGUAACAAGGACACCUGGGAAAGCAGUCAAGCAAGGACUUUUGUAAUAUUCUAAUGGAAAAAAAUGGAGAAAUAUGGGCUGUAUAACAGCUCUUUUAGGAGUAUUCCAAACAAAAUGAAUGCUUAUUCUCCGAAAGUCCUAAUUAAUAAAAGGAUUGAUAUUGACCUAAAAGGAGGUUUUCAGACCAUGUUGUGUAGCUCUGAUUUGAGCUCUGUACUGCUUAAUAGUUAAUCAUGACUUGAAGAUACAAAAAGUAACUAAUUAAAUUUGAA